rnacentral:rRNA from 1 species
UUGUGCGGAGAGUUUGAUCCCGGCUCAGGAUAAACGCUGGCGGCGUGCUUAAUGCAUGCAAGUCGUACGGUUUCGAUUUAUCGGACCCGUGGCGGACGGGUGAGUAACACGUAAGUAACCUGCCCCUAAGUAGGGGAUAACCCCGGGAAACCGGGGCUAAUACCUUAUGUGUUGGUGGAGGUAAGGCUUCAUCAAUAAAGCCUUCGGGCGCUUAGGGAGGGGCUUGCGGCUGAUUAGCUAGUUGGUGGGGUAAUGGUUCACCAAGGCGACGAUCGGUAGCUGGUUUGAGAGGACGGUCAGCCACAUUGGGACUGAGACACGGCCCAAACUCCUACGGGAGGCAGCAGCAAGGAAUUUUGGGCAAUGGGCGAAAGCCUGACCCAGCGACGCCGCGUGAGGGAAGAAGGCCUUCGGGUCGUAAACCUCUUUUCUCGGGGAAGAAUAUGACGGUACCUGAGGAAUAAGUCUCGGCUAACUACGUGCCAGCAGCCGCGGUAAUACGUAGGAGGCGAGCGUUAUCCGGAUUUAUUGGGCGUAAAGAGAGCGUAGGCGGUUUGCCAAGUCAAAUGUAAAAUCUCCCGGCUCAACUGGGAGGGACCAUUUGAUACUGGUAGACUUGAGAGCAGCAGAGGAAGGUGGAAUUCCCGGUGUAGUGGUGAUAUGCGUAGAUAUCGGGAGGAACACCAGUGGCGAAGGCGACCUUCUGGGCUGUUUCUGACGCUGAGGCUCAAAAGCGUGGGGAGCGAACAGGAUUAGAUACCCUGGUAGUCCACGCCGUAAACGAUGGACACUAGGUAUGGGGAGUAUCGACCCUCUCCGUGCCGUAGCUAACGCUUUAAGUGUCCCGCCUGGGAAGUACGGUCGCAAGACUAAAACUCAAAGGAAUUGACGGGGGCCCGCACAAGCAGCGGAGCGUGUGGUUUAAUUCGAUUCAACGCGAAGAACCUUACCAGGGCUUGACAUGACAGAAGUAGGAACCCGAAAGGGUAACGACCUGUAAAGCCAGGAACUGCCACAGGUGCUGCAUGGCUGUCGUCAGCUCGUGCCGUGAGGUGUUGGGUUAAGUCCCGCAACGAGCGCAACCCCUAUUGCCAGUUACACUCUCUGGCGAGACUGCCCCGCGUAACGGGGAGGAAGGUGGGGAUGACGUCAAGUCAGCACGGCCCUUAUGCCCUGGGCUACACACACGCUACAAUGGGUGGUACAAUGGGCAGCGACAGAGCAAUCUGAAGCCAAUCCCUUAAAACCAUCCUCAGUUCGGAUUGCAGGCUGAAAUUCGCCUGCAUGAAGCUGGAGUUGCUAGUAACCGCAGGUCAGCACACUGCGGUGAAUACGUUCUCGGGCCUUGUACACACCGCCCGUCACGUCAUGAAAGUCAGCAACACCUGAAGUCGAUGGGCUAACCCUGGUUUUCCAGGGAAGUAGUCGCCGAGGGUGAGGCUGGUGAUUGGGACGAAGUCGUAACAAGGUAGCCGUAGCGGAAGCUGCGGCUGGAUCACCUCCUUC